rnacentral:rRNA from 1 species
UACGAAGGGGGCUAGCGUUGCUCGGAAUCACUGGGCGUAAAGGGUGCGUAGGCGGGUCUUUUAAGUCAGGGAUGGAAGACUCGUGAGCUCAACUCCAGAACUGCCUUUGAUACUGAAGGAUCUUGAGUUCGGGAGAGGUGAGUGGAACUGCGAGUGUAGAGGUGAAAUUCGUAGAUAUUCGCAAGAACACCAGUGGCGAAGGCGGCUCACUGGCCCGAUACUGACGCUGAGGCACGAAAGCGUGGGGAGCAAACAGG